UACGUAGGGUGCAAGCGUUGUCCGGAAUUAUUGGGCGUAAAGAGCUCGUAGGCGGUCUGUCGCGUCGGCUGUGAAAUCCCGAGGCUCAACCUCGGGUCUGCAGUCGAUACGGGCAAACUAGAGUAUUGCAGGGGAGACUGGAAUUCCUGGUGUAGCGGUGAAAUGCGCAGAUAUCAGGAGGAACACCGGUGGCGAAGGCGGGUCUCUGGGCAUUUCCUGACGCUGAGGCGCGAAAGCGUGGGGAGCAAACGGG
rnacentral:rRNA from 1 species